rnacentral:rRNA from 1 species
UACGGAGGGUGCAAGCGUUGUCCGGAAUUAUUGGGCGUAAAGAGCUCGUAGGCGGUUUGUCGCGUCGGCUGUGAAAACCUGGGGCUCAACCCCGGGCCUGCAGCCGAUACGGGCAAACUAGAAUUCGGUAGGGGAGACUGGAAUUCCUGGUGUAGCGGUGAAAUGCGCAGAUAUCAGGAGGAACACCGGUGGCGAAGGCGGGUCUCUGGGCCGAUAUUGACGCUGAGGAGCGAAAGCGUGGGGAGCAAACAGG